GAAAUGCGAUAAGUAAUGUGAAUUGCAGAAUUCCGUGAAUCAUCGAAUCUUUGAACGCACAUUGCGCCCUCUGGUAUUCCGGGGGGCAUGCCUGUCCGAGCGUCAUUGCGAACCCCUCAAGCACGGCUUGUGUGAUGGGCCCUCCCGCGUCUUGGUCGUCAAGACGGGCCCGAAAUGCAGUGGCGGCUUCGCGGUUAUCCGAUCAGCCAGAGCGUAUGGGGACUUUCUCUCUGUCACACGCCCGCGGCGCGGACCGACGCCUGUCGACCUUUAUUCAUCUUUUUCUCGGUUGACCUCGGAUCAGGUAGUGAUACCCGCUGAACUUAAGC
rnacentral:misc_RNA from 1 species